rnacentral:rRNA from 1 species
GUGCAUGGCGCAGCUAUAAUGCAGUCGAACGAGUUCUCGUUGAUGAUCGGUGCUUGCACCGAGAUUCAACAUGGAACGAGUGGCGGACGGGUGAGUAACACGUGGGUAACCUGCCCUUAAGUGGGGGAUAACAUUUGGAAACAGAUGCUAAUACCGCAUAGAUCCAAGAACCGCAUGGUUCUUGGCUGAAAGAUGGCGUAAGCUAUCGCUUUUGGAUGGACCCGCGGCGUAUUAGCUAGUUGGUGAGGUAAUGGCUCACCAAGGCGAUGAUACGUAGCCGAACUGAGAGGUUGAUCGGCCACAUUGGGACUGAGACACGGCCCAAACUCCUACGGGAGGCAGCAGUAGGGAAUCUUCCACAAUGGACGCAAGUCUGAUGGAGCAACGCCGCGUGAGUGAAGAAGGCUUUCGGGUCGUAAAACUCUGUUGUUGGAGAAGAAUGGUCGGCAGAGUAACUGUUGUCGGCGUGACGGUAUCCAACCAGAAAGCCACGGCUAACUACGUGCCAGCAGCCGCGGUAAUACGUAGGUGGCAAGCGUUAUCCGGAUUUAUUGGGCGUAAAGCGAGCGCAGGCGGUUUUUUAAGUCUGAUGUGAAAGCCCUCGGCUUAACCGAGGAAGCGCAUCGGAAACUGGGAAACUUGAGUGCAGAAGAGGACAGUGGAACUCCAUGUGUAGCGGUGAAAUGCGUAGAUAUAUGGAAGAACACCAGUGGCGAAGGCGGCUGUCUGGUCUGUAACUGACGCUGAGGCUCGAAAGCAUGGGUAGCGAACAGGAUUAGAUACCCUGGUAGUCCAUGCCGUAAACGAUGAAUGCUAGGUGUUGGAGGGUUUCCGCCCUUCAGUGCCGCAGCUAACGCAUUAAGCAUUCCGCCUGGGGAGUACGACCGCAACGUUGAAACUCAAGGAAUUGACGGGGCCCGCACAAGCGGUGGAGCAUGGUGGUUUAAUUCUAAGCAACGCGAGAACCUUACCAGGUCCUUGACAUCUUUUGAUCAUCUGGAGAGAUCAGUUUUCCCCUUCCGCGCGCAGAUGAACAAGUGGUGCAUGAUGUCAUCAUCUCCUGUCAGUGAAAUGUUUGGCUAAAGUCCGUAACGAGCCGCCACACCGUGACUG